UGGGGAAUUUUGGACAAUGGGCGAAAGCCUGAUCCAGCAAUGCCGCGUGUGUGAAGAAGGCCUUCGGGUUGUAAAGCACUUUUGUCCGGAAAGAAAUCCUUGGCUCUAAUACAGUCGGGGGAUGACGGUACCGGAAGAAUAAGCACCGGCUAACUACGUGCCAGCAGCCGCGGUAAUACGUAGGGUGCAAGCGUUAAUCGGAAUUACUGGGCGUAAAGCGUGCGCAGGCGGUUUGCUAAGACCGAUGUGAAAUCCCCGGGCUCAACCUGGGAACUGCAUUGGUGACUGGCAGGCUAGAGUAUGGCAGAGGGGGGUAGAAUUCCACGUGUAGCAGUGAAAUGCGUAGAGAUGUGGAGGAAUACCGAUGGCGAAGGCAGCCCCCUGGGCAAUACUGACGCUCAUGCACGAAAGCGUGGGGAGCAAACAGGAUUAGAUACCCUGGUAGUCCACGCCCUAAACGAUGUCAACUAGUUGUUGGGGAUUCAUUUCCUUAGUAACGUAGCUAACGCGUGAAGUUGACCGCCUGGGGAGUACGGUCGCAAGAUUAAAACUCAAAUGAAUUG
rnacentral:rRNA from 1 species